rnacentral:rRNA from 1 species
GCAGCCGCGGUAAUACGUAGGUGGCAAGCGUUGUCCGGAUUUACUGGGUGUAAAGGGCGUGUAGGCGGGCUGAUAAGUCAGAUGUGAAAUACCGGGGCUUAACCCCGGGGCUGCAUUUGAAACUGUCAGUCUUGAGUGUCGGAGAGGUAAGCGGAAUUCCUAGUGUAGCGGUGAAAUGCGUAGAUAUUAGGAGGAACACCAGUGGCGAAGGCGGCUUACUGGACGAUAACUGACGCUGAGGCGCGAAAGCGUGGGUAGCAAACAGGAUUAGAUACCCC